CCUACGGGGGGCAGCAGUGGGGAAUAUUGCACAAUGGGGGAAACCCUGAUGCAGCGACGCCGCGUGAGUGAAGAAGUAUUUCGGUACGUAAAGCUCUAUCAGCAGGGAAGAAAAUGACGGUACCUGACUAAGAAGCCCCGGCUAACUACGUUCCAGCAGCCGCGGUAAUACGUAGGGGGCAAGCGUUAUCCGGAUUUACUGGGUGUAAAGGGAGCGUAGACGGCAGCGCAAGUCUGGAGUGAAAUCCCAUGGCUUAACCAUGGAACUGCUUUGGAAACUGUGCAGCUAGAGUGCAGGAGAGGUAAGCGGAAUUCCUAGUGUAGCGGUGAAAUGCGUAGAUAUUAGGAGGAACCCCAGUGGCGAAGGCGGCUUACUGGACUGUAACUGACGUUGAGGCUCGAAAGCGUGGGGAGCAAACAGGAUUAGAUACCCGAGUAGUC
rnacentral:rRNA from 1 species